GAUUGAUACUAAGCCAUGCGAGUCAUUGUAGCAAUACAAGGCAGACGGCUCAGUAACGCGUAGUCAACCUACCCUAUGGACGGGAAUAACCUCGGGAAACUGAGUAUAAUGCCCGAUAGAACACUAUACCUGGAAUGGUUUGUGUUUCAAAUGAUUUAUUGCCAUAGGAUGGGACUGCGGCCUAUCAGUUUGUUGGUGAGGUAAUGGCCCACCAAGACUAUUACAGGUACGGGCUCUGAGAGGAGUGGCCCGGAGAUGGGUACUGAGACACGGACCCAGGUCCUAUGGGGCGCAGCAGGCGAGAAAACUUUGCAAUGUGCGAAAGCACGACAAGGUUAAUCCGAGUGGUUUCUGCUAAAGGAACCUUUUGUUAGUCCUAGAAACACUAACGAAUAAGGGGUGGGCAAGUUCUGGUGUCAGCCGCCGCGGUAAAACCAGCACCUCAAGUGGUCAGGAUGAUUAUUGGGCCUAAAGCAUCCGUAGCCGGCUCAGUAAGUUUUCGGUUAAAUCUGUACGCUUAACGUACAGGCUGCCGGGAAUACUGCAGAGCUAGGGAGUGGGAGAGGUAGACGGUACUCGGGAGGAAGUGGUAAAAUGCUUUGAUCUUUCGAUGACCACCUGUGGCGAAGGCGGUCUACCAGAACACGUCCGACGGUGAGGGAUGAAAGCUGGGGGAGCAAACCGGAUUAGAUACCCGGGUAGUCCCAGCUGUAAACUAUGCAAACUCAGUGAUGCAUUGGCUUGUGGCCAAUGCAGUGUUGCAGGGAAGCCGUUAAGUUUGCCGCCUGGGAAGUACGUACGCAAGUAUGAAACUUAAAGGAAUUGGCGGGGGA
rnacentral:rRNA from 2 species